AGCCUGCUUCUUCCUCUCCCACUCCCCCUGCUUGUGUUCCCUCUCUCACUGGCUGUCUCUGUCUCUGUCAAAUAAAUAAAAUCUUAUUUAAAAAAUAAAUAAAUAAAAAAUAAAAAGUGGGUCAAAUUGUGUUCAGAGCAAAAUCCUUUUGCUCUGAACCGUUUGCUCUUCACCGUCCAGUAGCUUCCCAUCUGUCAUAGGUGAUGGGGUUUAUCCCUCCCUCUUCUAAUGUCAUCUACUGCCUGCCUCCUUGCUGUGCCUCAAGCUGAAUGCAUUCCUGCCUCUGGCCUUUCACCCUCCUUCUAUCUCAACUAGGAGUGGUUUUGCCCCAUACAGGACAUGUGGCAAUGUCUGGAGACAUCUUUGGUUGUCAAACAGAUGGUCACAACUGGAGAAGUGGAUGCUGCCAGCAUCUAACAGAUAGUGGCCAGGGAUGCUGCCACCAUCCUACAAUGUACAGGACAGCCCUCCCACAAGAUUAUCCAGCCCUCGGUGUCAAUAGGGCUGAUAUGGGGGAACCCUCCUACAUCUCAGAAGCUGGAGGAAUUUGGACACAGACACACAGAGGAAGAGAUGUGAGACACGUAGGGAGAAGUCUGCUGUCUCCAUGCCAAGGAGAGAGGGCUGGAACAGAUCCUUCCCUCACAGCUCUCAGAAGAAAGCAACCCUGUGGACAGCUUAAUCCUGCACUUCUGACAUCCAGAACUGUGAGACAGUGGUGGGAUUGACUUCCUUCCUGCAUCCGGAGAAAUGAGCUAUAAAUGAACCUUCCAAGGCUUCUGGCUUGAGCCUCUGGAUUCCCAAUGGAACAUGUUGACUGAAAUGAUUUGGGCCAAAGUAAAAGAAGGCUUUGGCUGAAACCAAAAGACAUGUGUGGGUUCAUGUCUUUCUGCGUUGCCCUCCUCCAUGUGUUAACUUUAUCCUCAGGAUGAUGGUGAGAUGGCCCUCGUAGUACCGUCACCAGCUAGACCCAAGACCUGACCUUUACGGCUCACCUGCUUGUACCCAGCCACCUUUGUUCCAAGUUUUUCCUUCUUUCCAGCUUCCCUCUUAACUCAGGCAAGAGACCUGAGGGCAUAGCAUCCCUGAAGGAAACCGAAGCUACCCCUCAAGCAACAAUGACUGCCUGGAAGCAGAACUCCAUUGGUCCAGACCACUCAGACCAGUUUGAACUUAGCUGCCCCUCCCCCAAAUGUACAAUACAAUGUUAUUCGCUACAGUCACCAUGCUGUACAGUAAGGCUCCAGAAUGUAUUCAUCUCAUAACAAAGUGUGUACCCUUCCCAACAAAGAUCUUAUGAUUCAAGUCAACAUUUACACAGCAACACAUAUUUGCCCUUUGUGUCAGUGACCCCGCCUUGAAAUUUGCUCAGAAUAGAUCUUGUGUUCUUAACACGCACACACAUACACACACACACAGUAACUCUGUGAGGUAAUGGAUGUGUUAAUUAGCUUGAUCGUGGUAAACGUUGCAACAUAUAUCAAAACAGCAUGGUGUGCAUCUGCUGUGGUCUGAAUGUUUGUGUUUCCCCCAAAUUCAUGUGCUCGAAUCUGAGUGCCCAAUGUGAUAGUAUUAGGAGGUGGGGGCUUUCUGAGGCUCUUACGUCAUGAAGGUAGAGCCCUUAUGAAUCGGAUUAGUGCCCUGUAAAAGAGAGCUUGCCUCUUCUGCAUAAGCUAACACCUAGAAGGCACAGUCUACGAAACUAGGAGAUGGGCUCUCACCAGACACUAAAUCUGCUAGUGCCAUGAUCUUGAACUUCCCAGCCUCCAGAAUUGUGAGAAAUAAAUGUUUGUUGUUUAUAAGCCACCCAAUUGAUGGCAUUUGUAAUCAUAGGAAACUGAAUGGACUAGGAUAACACCUUAAAUAUGAACAAUUUUUAUUUGUCAAUCACACCUCAAUAAAGCUGGGAAAUAAAUUAAAAAGAACUUUAAAGGUAUGUGAAAAGGCUUCAACAGACUUAAUUUAAUCUCAGUUUAAAAGAAGGCCAAUAAGCAUAUUAAGUAUUGUUUUAAGAAUGUGAUGACAACUUGUUUUGUUGUAAGGAUUAUUGUAUUUGAAAGAAUAUUAUACUAUACCAUGCUGUACAGCCAUUAAUAAUAAUUGUUAUUGUGUCAUUCUCCCUAAAGCAGAAUUCCUGCUGUGAGCUCAGAACUGAAUUCUAAUCCUGGCUCCAUUUCCUACUGUCAUUUAAUCAUUUAAUCUCCAUAAAUCUCAUUAAUCUCUAUCUGCCUAUCCCAUGUAGUUAAAAAGACUAAAUGAGAUAG